UUCUACUGUCCCUUGCUGAUUUGGUUGAACUCAGAAGAUAAGCAGGAUUGGGCUUGGUUAGUACCUAAAUAGAAAGUUCUUAGAAAUAUCAGGUGCUGUAGGAA
rnacentral:rRNA from 1 species